rnacentral:rRNA from 1 species
CAGUAGCCACGGGAACACGUAGGGUGCAAGCGUUAAUCGGAAUUACUGGGCGUAAAGCGUGCGCAGGCGGUUUGUUAAGACAGAUGUGAAAUCCCCGGGCUCAACCUGGGAACUGCAUUUGUGACUGGCAAGCUAGAGUCUGGCAGAGGGGGGUAGAAUUCCACGUGUAGCAGUGAAAUGCGUAGAGAUGUGGAGGAAUACCGAUGGCGAAGGCAGCCCCCUGGGCCAAUACUGACGCUCAUGCACGAAAGCGUGGGGAGCAAACAGGAUUAGAUACCCCAGUAGUCCCUGUCUCUUAUAC